UCCCCCUAGGUUUAUGGCCGUGUUCACCGCAGCUCUGCUGAAGACAGGGCAUUUAAACCGGGCCAGACGCCUGGUCGCAUCCAGGCCUCUGCUGUUAACACUUAAGGGGCCUAAAAAAAGGCCCCAGUGGUAUCCUGGGAAUCCCUGUCAGUGAGUGUGAGUGUGUGCGUGUGUGCGUGUGUGUGUGUGCGUGCGCGCGCGUGCGUGCUGGGGAAAACAUGUGUUCCUGCAUGCUCUGGGCCCACACAGCAGAUGUAGCAACAAAUUUUUUGUUUUUUAAUAUAUUCUCAUCAGAGUGACAAAGAUUUUUGAUUUGACAGUAAGUGAAUUGAAAAAUAGUGCUGGGCAGAUUAUCUUUCUCCUUUUUUUCUGGUGCCUUUUCAUUCUUUGCUUCUCGUUUUAAUUUGCUGUUGGAGCUCAUGGGAUCUUUUCAGAAGAUCCCUUAGACUCUUCGCUUGCACUUAGAUGCUUACGUGUUAAAACUUCUGCUCAGUGAUAAAUACACCGGCUUCUCAAAUUGUCCCUUCCCGAACACGUUGAUAUGUAUUAUUAAAACCUCAUUUAAAGUGUAAUAUGUCAAAAUAAAAUUUUCGGAUGUCGUGUAAAAAAAAAAAAAACCACAUUACUUCAAAUGUUAGCAAUUGGUCAGGAUUCUGAUUUUUGCUUUAAAUGGGUGUGAACAGAUAGACACCAUUUUUGCUCUGGUAAAUAUUGUUGAUAACUUUAUCUUUUCCGGCGUACCUAAAAGAGUAACAUGUGAGUCAUUAUUUGAUUUUUUAUCUGAUAGGUUUGCUAACUUUAAUUUCACCGAGAAAUUAUUACUGUUUGAACUCAACUGUUGGUGGAACGUGUUCCUGUUCUAGUUCAAUGCCUGGAAAAGGUGGUGAAAUCUUCUCUGAGCUCAAGCGCGGCUCAUGCUUUGGGAACUCAUAAUUAUGUUCAGACACCUGCAUAAUUUCAUUUGGAAAAUCAUCCGUACCUGUAAAUGCUGUUCCAUUCAGAAUAGCAAGGAUUUAGCUAGAGGCCCCUCCUCCAGUCAGAAAGUGGUAAGUUGGGAGGGGUUAUUUGGCCCUUGAUCCCUGCUAAGAUGAGAAACAAUCAUGUUUGCUCUGGUAAUAAUUCACAUCAGAAAUGUUAACCAACAUGAAAUAAUUCCUGUGGAAGCGUGAGGUUUGCAUAGAGCGUUAUUUUUAUUUGUGUAUUGUUACAACUCUCUCGCGCAGCCGUUAGGCCGGCCUCGCAGGCCCAUGUUCUGUGUCUGAGAACCCUCAGCUUGGAAAGGAGGAUCCACCCCAUUGGGUGAGAAAAGCCAUAGAGAUUUCCCUGCAGAACAAAUCAUAAUUGUUCUUUAAGCAUACCGUUAUCAUUUAUGAAUGCCUAGGGAUAAACAUAAACAUCGUGAAAGUUCAGUUUGUCGGUAAGAUUAAAUUGCUGCAUGUGGGGUGAGGGGCAGAAGUGUCUUUUAGCCUUUGUAUAUGGCUUUAGAAGCUAUUUUGACAGUGGCCAUUAAGCGAGUGCCUUGCCCUGAAGCUUCCGCAAGGUAAAUUACUUGCAGGAGGAGGAAGCUU